rnacentral:tRNA from 1 species
ACAGAGAUGACUCAGUGGUUAAGAGCACUGACUGAUCUUUCAGAGAACCUGGGUUCAAUUCCCAG